CUCAAUAGAGGAAAGUUUUUGUGGAAUGAGUAUUACUGUUUCCAUGUUUUUCAUAUUCAUUUCCUUUUACAGUAACCUCUUGUAUAUGAGAUUGUAGAUGAGAACUUAAAUCGUGAUAUUGAAUCUUACCAGAGAAUAAAGAAACCGUUUACCUCAACCAAAGUUAUAUUUCAUAGAAUUAUGUUGACCAUGAUCCAAGUUUUGCCAUGGAUGUGCACUUGUGUCUUAGACUUAUGGUUUGCAAAAGGUUCACCAUUGUCCUUAAGUUGCUGUGGGUUUUAUGGUUUUACUUCCAACCUGGCAUAUAAAUGCACUUAGUAUCUGGAAUUAUUUGUCAAGAACUGGUGAUUAGACUAUUAAACGAACACGUUUUUAAGGGCUGAGAAGGUGAAAGUUAGAAGUCUGCAGACUGCAACGUAAAUCAAUUUUCAACACAUGGUUUCCUGAAUAUAUUUAGUUUUUGAUCGAAAUGAGAAUAAACUGAACUUAUAGAUAUGUUAAAAAAUUAACUAUUUCAUAUUUUAAACGUUCGCUAAACGCAAGUAAAGCAAUA
rnacentral:lncRNA from 1 species